CAGCCGCCACGGUAAUACGUAGGUGGCAAGCGUUGUCCGGAAUUAUUGGGCGUAAAGGGCCCGCAGGCGGUUUCUUAAGUCUGAUGUGAAAGCCCCCGGCUCAACCGGGGAGGGUCAUUGGAAACUGGGAAACUUGAGUGCAGAAGAGGAGAGUGGAAUUCCACGUGUAGCGGUGAAAUGCGUAGAGAUGUGGAGGAACACCAACGGCGAAAGCACUCUGCUGGGCCGACACUGACACUGAGAGACGAAAGCUAGGGGAGCAAAUGGGAUUAGAUACCCGCGUAGUCCCUGUCUCUUAUAC
rnacentral:rRNA from 1 species